rnacentral:rRNA from 1 species
GACUACCGGGGUAUCUAAGCCGGUUCGCUCCCCACGCUUUCGUGCCUUAGUGUCAGAAAUAGCCCAGUAACCUGCCUACGCCAUUGGUGUUCCUUCUAAUAUCUACGGAUUUCACUCCUACACUAGAAAUUCCAGUUACCUCUGCUACUCUCGAGUUUUACAGUUCGAAUAAUAGUCUGUAUGGUUGAGCCACCAGAUUUCACUAUUCGCUUAUAAAACCACCUACGCAACUCUUUACGCCCAGUCACUCCGGAUAAUGCUUGCACCCUACGUAUGACCGCGGCUGCUGGCACGUAGUUAGCCGGUGCUUAUUCAUAAGUUACCGUCAUAUUCUUCACUUAUAAAAGCAGUUUACGACCCGAAGGCCUUCAUCCUGCACGCGGCGUUGCUCCAUCAGGCUUUCGCCCAUUGUGGAAGAUUCCUCACUGCAGCCCCCCGUAGG